rnacentral:rRNA from 1 species
CAGCCGUAAACAAUGUGCGUUAGGUGAGUCGGUAACCACGUGUUACUGAUGCGCCGAAGAGAAAUCGUGAAACGCACCACCUGGGAAGUACGGUCGCAAGGCUGAAACUUAAAGGAAUUGGCGGGGGAGCACCACAACAGGUGGAGCCUGCGGUUUAAUUGGAUUCAACGCCGGACAUCUCACCGGAUAAGACAGCUGAAUGAUUGUCAAUCUGAAGGUUUUACAUGACUAGCUGAGAGGUGGUGCAUGGCGUCAGUGACU